rnacentral:lncRNA from 10 species
CUGUAGACCCUUUGUUUAGGUGGAUUUCUCUCUUUUGGAAAGAACUUCUUUUCACAUUUCUUGGAAGGCAGGUUGACAAGUAUUUUUCAAGAGAGAGACAGGAGGAAAUUUGAGAUAGAAGAGGAGAAGACAAGACACAGAGAAGAGAAGCUGAUGUGAAGAUGGAGCAGAGAGAGAUGCAGACAGAAGCCAAGGAAUGCUGACAGCUACCAGGAGCUGGAAGAGGCAGAGAAGGAUUCCUUUCCAGAUCCUUUAGUGGGACCGUGGCCCUGCCGACACCUUGAUUUCAGCUGUCUAGCCUCCAGAAUUGUGGGAGAAAAAGUUUUUAUUGUUUUAAGCCACUAAGUUUGUGGUGAUUCAUUACAGCACCCCCAGGAAAUGAAUAUAGUAUCCCAAGUAGGAUUAGCCCUAGUUACCUACUGUGGUGGUGAGCUCAAUAAUUUAAGAGUUACUUUUUCUUCCUUUCUUAGGUUGCUCUUCCCAGUUCUCCAUUCUUGUUCCCUAUGAUCAUUUCCCAAAAUAAAUUCCCCGCAUGCAAGACCUGGUCUCAGGCUCUGACUUCUGGGGAAAAUCGAGGCUAAUAUACUUGGUUCCAGAAGUGACCAUAGGAAGCAGAACCUCAAGAUGUUAUGGUGGAACUGCUUCAUUCACUGUCCAAACAGUGGGAAGAACUUUGUUUGUGGUGGUGA